GUUCAACGGCCGCGGUAUCCUAACCGUGCAAAGGUAGCAUAAUCACUUGCCCAUUAAUUGUGGGCUAGAAUGAAAGGACCAACGAAAUAAAGACUGUCUCUAUAAGCAAAUUAAAAAUUAAUCUCUAACUGAAGAGUGUUAGAUUAUGUCGAAGGACAAGAAGACCCUAUAGAGCUUAAUUCUAAUAAAAAUACAUGUUUUAAUAAAAUUCGGUUGGGGCGACCAGGGAAUAAAAAUCAUCCCUAUUCAAAAGAUUUAUAAAUCUUUAAAAUGACCCUUAAACAAGACCAUAAAAACAAGCUACCUUAGGGGUAACAGGCUAAUCCCACUAAAGAGUUCUUAUCAAUAGUGGGGGUUGGCACCUCGAUGUUGGCUUAGGGAAUCUAUACGGCGCAAAAGUCGUAUAAAGAUGGUUUGUUCAACCAAUAACCCCUACAUGAGCUGAGUUCAGACCGGCGUAAGCCAGGUUAGUUUCUAUCCUCGAUAAAAAUACCUAUUUAUAGUACGAAAGGACCUAAAUAAGGGUAACAGUUACAAUAAAAGAAUAAAUAUAAAAAAUUAAUAUUUAGAAGAUUCAUAAACUAUGAUAGUGAGUUGGCAGAAUAGUGCCACAGGUUUA
rnacentral:rRNA from 1 species